GCUCGCUUCGUUCAAUGGCAGGACAGCGCUUUGGUAAAGCGCAGACACAGGAUCGUAACCUGUAGGGAGCCCCA
rnacentral:tRNA from 1 species